rnacentral:rRNA from 1 species
UCUAAUCCGCCCUGGGUAAGUCGGGACCUAAGACGAGGCCGACAGGCGUAGUCGAUGGACAACGGGUUGAUAUUCCCGUACCGGCAUUAACACGACCCUGACGAACCUAGUAAUGCUAAGCGCCCAAAGCUCAGUGAUUCCUUCGGGAAGAGUUGAGUGGAGCGCGCGACCCGAACUAGUAGUAGUCAAGCGAUGGGGUGACGCAGGAAGGUAGUCCAACCCAGGCGAUGGUUGACCUGGGGUAAGGGUGUAGGGCGAGACGUAGGCAAAUCCGCGUCUCACAUGCCUGAGACCUGACGCCGAGCCGAUUAAGGCGAAGUGGAUGAUCCUAUGCUGCCAAGAAAAGCCUCUAGCGAGUGUUAAAGCCGCCCGUACCCCAAACCGACACAGGUGGUCAGGUAGAGAAUACCAAGGCGAUCGAGAGAACUAUGGUUAAGGAACUCGGCAAAAUGCCCCCGUAACUUCGGGAGAAGGGGGGCCGAUUUGGGUGAGGAGACUUGCUCUCCAAGCCCGGGUUGGCCGCAGAGACCAGGCCCAAGCGACUGUUUACUAAAAACACAGGUCCAUGCGAAGUCGCAAGACGCUGUAUAUGGACUGACGCCUGCCCGGUGCUGGAACGUUAAGGGGACGGGUUAGCAACUUCGGUUGCGAAGCUCAGAACUUAAGCGCCAGUAAACGGCGGUGGUAACUAUAACCAUCCUAAGGUAGCGAAAUUCCUUGUCGGGUAAGUUCCGACCUGCACGAAUGGCGUAACGACUUGGGCGCUGUCUCAACCGUAGACUCGGCGAAAUUGCACUACGAGUAAAGAUGCUCGUUACGCGCGGCAGGACGAAAAGACCCCGGGACCUUUACUACAGCUUGGUAUUGGUGGUCGAUUCAAUUUGUGUAGGAUAGGUGGGAGACUAUGAACUCUGGACGCCAGUUCAGAGGGAGUCAUCGUUGAAAUACCACUCUGAUUGUAUUGGCUGUCUAACCUAGGUCCGUAAUCCGGAUCAGGGACAGUGCCUGGUGGGUAGUUUAACUGGGGCGGUUGCCUCCCAAAAUGUAACGGAGGCGCUCAAAGGUUCCCUCAGCCUGGUUGGCAAUCAGGUAUCGAGUGUAAGUGCACAAGGGGGCUUGACUGUGAGACUGACGGGUCGAGCAGGGACGAAAGUCGGAACUAGUGAUCCGGCGCUGGCAAGUGGAAGCGGCGUCGCUCAACGGAUAAAAGGUACCCCGGGGAUAACAGGCUGAUCUUCCCCAAGAGUCCAUAUCGACGGGAUGGUUUGGCUCCUCGAUGUCGGCUCGUCGCAUCCUGGGGCUGGAGUUGGUCCCAAGGGUUGGGCUGUUCGCCCAUUAAAGCGGCACGCGAGCUGGGUUUAGAACGUCGUGAGACAGUUCGGUCCCUAUCCGCCGCGCGCGUAAGAGUCUUGAGAAGGGCUGUCCCUAGUACGAGAGGACCGGGAUGGACGAACCUCUGGUGUGUCAGUUGUCCUGCCAAGGGCACUGCUGAUUAGCUACGUUCGGAACGGAUAACCGCUGAAAGCAUCUAAGCGGGAAGCCGGCUUCAAGAUGAGGGCUCUCACAGGGUUAACCUGGUAAGGCCCCCAGUAGACCACUGGGUUGAUAGGCCGGAAGUGGAAGUACGGCGACGUAUGGAGCUGACCGGUACUAAUAGGCCGAGGACUUGACCU